UCCAGGAGCUGCGGCUGCGGGAUCCGGGCGCGGCCGUGGAGGAGCAGCUGGAGGGAGCCCGGCGCCGCCUCAGCCAACUGCAGCUGAAAAUCCUGCAGGAAUCGCAGGGAUCCGCGGAUCCGGGGUCCCCGCGGCUCCGGGCUGGAUUUUCCGGGAAUUCCCAGGACGGGGAGGAGGGGCCGGAACCCGAGCGGAUCCCAAAGCCCGGAGAGAGCAGCUCCAGGAAGGAGAAGGAGCAGAAGCAGAAUCCGAUCCUGAAAUACAUCGGGAAACCCCGGGGCGGCUCCCAGAGCGGUGAGUGACGCCGGAAUUCCCGGAAUUCCCGGAAUUCCCGGCAUUCUCCGGCCCCCAGGGGUUCCCAGGGAUUGGUUGGGGAGAGGGGGAAUUUCGGAGAAAUUUGGGGAAUUUUUGGGGGAUUUUUUGGGAAUUUUUUGGGGAAUUUUUUGGGAAUUUUUUGGGAUUUUUUAGGGGAUUUUGGGGGGAUUUUUUGGGAAUUUUUGGGGGAUUUUUUGGGAAUUUUUUAGGGGAUUUUUGGGGAUUUAAUUGGGAUUUUUUAGGGAAUUUUCCAGGGAU
rnacentral:lncRNA from 1 species